rnacentral:lncRNA from 1 species
CACUAAAUCUACUAGUCAGACCUGUUUGUUUUGAACAUGUUUUUCCUUGCAUCAGUUUUUUUCAUGCUUUUUUUCUGUGUCAUUUUUACCCAGAAAGUCAGCCAAUAUGUCUAUGCAGCCGUAUUCUGAUGAAGAGCUGAACUACUUCAAGUUUGCGUCGAUUGUCCUAAAGGAAUUCCCAGAUGCUUUGCGUAGCAUCUUUGUAGACAUGUGGGACACCAAAGUUGCAGCAAGUUCCACCGUUUGGGAUGACUCCCCUUUUGUACGCAAUAUACUCCACAACAACGAGGCUCCAAAUACAAAAAUUCCCACGAACAACUCAUUUAAAGAGUGGGACUGCACUGCACUAUUUCAAGCCACUCUGUAUGCAAGAACAUUUGCGCUACCAGACAGCACAGGAAAGAAAAAGACGCUCGGAGAAAUGUAUUUAAAAGGACGAAAGCCAGCCCCUUCUCCAUUCCACUAUGCAGUGACAAGCUCGAGUGGAGAUGCAAAUGAAACGAUUGCACUUGCCAUUGAUCAGCUUCGUCUUUUGCGAAACACCCUUUGUCAUACAUCUAGCCCUCAAAUUAAUGAAGUCACCUUCGAUGACUAUGUUAAGCACGCCAAAGAUGUGUUCGCUGCUUUGAAUUUUAGCACGACAUCUCUGGAGAGGAUUGGUAAUUUGAAAGAAUCGGAUUUUCCUACAAAGGAAGCACAAAAAGUCAUGGAAAAAAUCAAUCGUCAGAAAAAUGAAUACUAUCUGUUUCUCCAAAGCAACGUUAUAGAUGAAAUAAGUGGAAUGAAAGAUGGAAUGAAAGAUGGACUGAGUGAAAUGAAAGAUGGAAUGAGUGGAAUGAAAGAUGGAAUGAGUGGAAUGAAAGAUGGAAUGAAAGAUGGAAUGAGUGGAAUAAAAAAUGGAAUGAGUGAACUAAAAAAUGAAAUGAAAGAUGGAAUGAGUGAAAUGAAAGAUGGAAUGAGUGGAAUAAAAGAUGGAAUGAGUGAACUAAAAGAUGGAAUGAAAGAUGGAAUCAGUGUAAUGAAAGGUAGAAUGAGUGGAAUGAUUGAUGGAAUGAGUGGUAUGAAAGAUGAAAUGAGUGAAAUGAAAGAUGGAAUAAGUGAACUGAAAGAUGGAAUGAAAGAUGGAAUGAGUGGAAUAAAAGAUGGAAUGAGUGGAAUGAAAGAUGGAAUGAGUGAAAUGAAAGAUGGAAUGAGUGGAAUGAAAGAUGGAAUAAGUGGAAUGAAAGAUGGAAUAAGUGAAAUGAAAGAUGGAAUGAGUGAAAUGAAUCAAAAACUGAAUAGCAUCGAAGGAGUAUUAACACAGACAAAAGAAACCACAGGUAUGCUGUUUAUGUAUAAUUAUAGUAUUAUACCUUAACAAUUGAUUUUCCAAUCGGAAAGCUGCAUUUAUACCAUAUGAUCAAUAACUUUAUCGUUGAAUUCCUUCAGCCUCAUAUUGAUCAUAAGUUGAUAUGCCUAUCUCCAGUGGGGGUAAUAGCGAACUUAAGCAAAGCUUAAUCCAGUACGGGGACGUGUCAAGUAACCGCCUUAAAUUUUACACUUUUAUAAUUAUAAAGAACUACAAGAUGAAGUGCGUGGAAUAAAACAUAAAAUAAGUGGAGUGGAACAUGAGGUGAAAAGAAUUAAUAAAAAAUUAACACAGACAAAAGAAACCACAGGUAUGUUGUUUAUCUAAUACUUUACCUUAAAAAGUGAUUUUCCAGACUGAUGCGCACGCAUUCUCGUCCCCAGAGCAAUUUUCACUCGAUCACUCGUUGAAAAUUAGGCUCUGGGAUAGACGACUAUAGGAAGAAAUCUGAUUGGCUUCUCAGAGAACUGCUAUUUCGCAGAAGUUGAGCAGUUUUCGCUGAGCAAAAUUAUUCUAUCAAAAUAUGUCAACACAAAUACUUCGUUUCCUCUUAAUACUUCACUGUGAA